GCCUCCUUAGCUCAGCGGUAGAGCAACGCUCUUGUAAAGCGUAGGUCGUCGGUUCAAUCCCGACAGGGGGCUCCA
rnacentral:tRNA from 1 species